rnacentral:rRNA from 1 species
UGACACUGAGGUGCGAAAGCAUGGGGAGCAAACAGGAUUAGAUACCCUGGUAGUCCAUGCCGUAAACGAUGUCUACUAGCCGUUGGGUCCUUUGAGGACUUAGUGGCGCAGCUAACGCGAUAAGUAGACCGCCUGGGGAGUACGGUCGCAAGACUAAAACUCAAAUGAAUUGACGGGGGCCCGCACAAGCGGUGGAGCAUGUGGUU